CUCGCCUUUCCUUUUUUCCAGGUUGCAUCAAGACCACUCACGGUUUGGAGUCUGCUGCUAGGGCUGAGUCUUCUUAUACCCACUCAGAGCAAGGAAGAGGAAUCACUGGGCAAUGCCACGGUGAGACCAACCCCAGAAGAUCGUGGAGAUCAGUCCCCAAACCCAGACUUUUGCGACUUCACAUUUCACAUCCCCUGGUCUGGGAGCUCUUGCACGCAGACUACCCAGGCAACCACCACACCAGCCUCUCAGGAAGAGCUGGACCAUCUCAAGAUCUUGUUGGAGGACCUUGGAGGCAACCUGAAGAGCCUUCAGGAGGCUGCAGUUCUGGAGGCCGGCCAGUCCAGGUACCAGGACAUCGUUUCCCAAGCCCUUCCUGAUGUGAGAGAGGCCAAUGGGGAGUUCCAUGAGAUUCUUGGGAAGUUCCUGCAGGAGCUGGAGGAACACAUUCAUGCAGAUGACCAUCUGCACGCAGAGGACGAGAAAAAGAAGUUAAACGAACACUUGCGGGGAAUGGACAGGAUGCUGCGUGUGACCAGUCACCUGGCCGACCAGCUGGACCAAGCAUCCCAGGACCUCCUGGUCAAGAUGACCAGCCUUUCGGAGAAACCAGCCAUCCGGGUGGAAGGAAGCGCCCUGAAGACAUCUUAGCUGCUCAUCCCGUUCUCUGUCCACAAAAGCAUUAAAAGAAAGGCCUCAGCAUUCAUUGUGCAAUCGGUUCCAGUAAUUUUAGAUUUUUUUUCAUUGUUCACGUACUUUCCUCAUCUCAUGGGGAGACUGAGUGCGUAACCUCUUGCUCGUAAAAGCCUCAUCUUUUGCAGUUCUCAUACACGCCUGCACAGUGCAGGAAAAUCCCACACUACAAGCAGUAAAGGUAAAGGUAAAGGGACCCCUGACCAUUAGGUCCAGUCAUGACCGACUCUGGGGUUGCGGCGCUCAUCUCGCUUUACUGGCCGAGGGAGCCGGCGUACAGCUUCCGGGUCAUGUGGCUAGCAUGACUAAGCCGCUUCUGGUGAAUCAGAGCAGCGCACGGAAAUGCCAUUUACCUUCCCGCUGGAGUGGUACCUAUUUAUCUACUUGCACUUUGACGUGCUUUCAAACUGCUAGGUUGGCAGGAGCAGGGACCGAGGAACGGGAGCUCACCC
rnacentral:lncRNA from 1 species